UGCUUGGCCAAUGUUUACCAUAGAUCAACCGAUCUGUGUUACCCAAACUGGAGUAACGGAGACUCCUGGGAUAUUAAAUUAGUUUCGAAGAAUUGCCCUAGUGUUCACAAUAAAACCAGUUUACGUGCUUAGUUAUGGACACACAGUCACAUUCAUAUACUCUUUAUAUGUAUGGUGGUAUGCAGACGUCACUUGAUUUUGAUGAAAUUCGAUGGUUUGGAAACUCGAGCGCAGCCAUAGAUGCUGUGUAUUUAACUUUUAUGUAGCACAAUCCACGAUAUUAUAAUUUUUCGAACUAAACAUUCCAUCGAACCAUAAAAGAGAGGUGUCUCUGCUAUAUUUUCAGCAAUAGGCUCACAUCCCGACACUUCAGUUGAUGGCUCAAUUUCGAAACCUACCGAUGAUGGCCUAUACUAUGGCACUUGCGUCGGCGUCCAUUGUUUGAUUUUUCUGUCAUUUGUUUUUUUUUAACACUUCUAAUGCUGUGUUAUAUCAGGACACCUUUGGCCAAGUACAGUUUUCAAGCAUUUGUACUGGCGACCCAUAUCUAUUUA